rfam:Streptococcus sp. HSISB1 chromosome, whole genome shotgun sequence.
AUAUGACAUUUGGGGUGCGUAAAAGCUGAGAUUAUACCCAUUGAACCUGAUGCAGUUAGAACUGACGAAGGGAAAUGUGUAAGUUACAAC